UCUGUUCUGCAUGUCCUCCAGGCAUCAACUCCCUGCAGAAAGCCCCCUACACAGCUGCUGCACUGUGAGAGACUAUGUACUGUUCAGCUGGUUUACAGUCACUGCAUUAUGCAAUGGGUUCAUUAUCACAUUACUCUUAGAGCAUCAACUCCCUGCAGAAAGCCCCCUACACAGCUGCUGCACUGUGAGAGACUAUGUACUGUUCAGCUGGUUUACAGUCACUGCAUUAUGCAAUGGGUUCAUUAUCACAUUACUCUUAGAAUAUCAACAAGGUAUGAAUGCCUGUUCCUGCUGCUAUGACAACCUUACCAUUUACUAGUGUUGGGUAAAUGUGGCAGUGACAAACUUGUUUUGCAGUGUUUUUCACCACCAUCUCAUAGCAGGAUUCAAGAGGUGUAUAAUUACGCUUUUAGGAGAUGGAAGGAUCUGGCUAUAUAGAAAGCACCAUUUUGUUAAGAGAUAUUAAGAGAAUAUUUUAAACUGAUGAGAAGUAUGAGCAGAUGAACAGUAAUUUACAGAAUGUGAUCUACAUAUGCACAUUCAUAUAAACAAAUAUAUGAAUGUCAAAUGUUAAGAGAUGAAUAAAUUAGAAUUAUAAUAAAGAUGCAGAAAUAAAAUUGAGUGGUCAUUUAUUACAUUUACAAAUAAAUUGACCAUUUGCAGCAAACACAGCUCCUGAGGGAUCUCACCAGUAAAGUUAGAAAGGACAUGACCCAGAGUAUCUGAUUCAAAUAUUUUAAUGUUUCAGCCUUACAUAACAAUCAGGAGCAUAAAUCAAAAAUAAUCUCACUUAGGUCAGCACAUUUCCAUUGAUGAGUCAGCCCUUGUAUUAAGAAUUCUUCCCACAUCUACAGAAUUAUUAGCAAAAGGGAUAUUGUUUUGCAAUCUUGGUCAUGUUGGGGAAGCUGCUUGAUUGAAACAAAAAAGGGACUGAAGUGACACCAGCUGGAUAAUGCUGGAAAUACAGGUAAAACUGUGCCUCUUGUGCAAAACAGGCCCCUAAAUUAUCCAUUGAAGAUCUCACCCCAUGUUAAUAACAGACUGCAGUCACCACACAUCUUCUGUGGAGGUCCAAGAACUGCAUGAAAAAAAGUGAUAGAAAACUGUCUGAAAAUAAUUACAUCACAACCUACAAAGAUCCUAUGUGAUUAAUUAUUAUCAGUCUCCUCAGACUCAAGCCUGUCAGAGCCAGAGAGCACCUUAUCGCCACAGAUAUUCAGAGCCCAGUGCAAAACAUCACAGGAGAAAUACAUUUAACUUAAACAAGGAUUCAAUUUGCUAGUCAUUAGUACUUACUCAUCUUGUAGUUUGGUAUUGACUUAGCCCUGUCACCUUUGGGGAAAAUAAGUUCCAUUAGGACAAUAAUCGAUGAUAAUCAAUGAAUAUUUUAAAAAAAUCUACAAGACUCAGAAUAACAUUAUCCUCAGACUCGGGCCUGUCAGAGCCAGAGAGCACUUUUUUCGCCACAGAAAUUCAGAGCCCAGUGCAAAACAUCACAGGAGAAAUACAUUUAACUUAAACAAGGAUUCAAUUUGCUAGUCAUUAGUACUUACUCAUCUUGUAGUUUGGUAUUGACUUAGCCCUGUCACCUUUGGGGAAAAUAAGUUCCAUUAGGACAAUAAUCGAUGAUAAUCAAUGAAUAUUUUUAAAAAAUCUACAAGACUCAGACUAACAUUAUCCUCAGACUCGGGCCUGUCAGAGCCAGAGAGCACUUUUUUCGCCACAGAAAUUCAGAGCCCAGUGCAAAACAUCAUAGGAAAACGUAACGUUACAUAUGAAAGAAAACCAGACUCACCUUGUGGGUUCUGACAGCCUCGUAACCUUUGGACAAUAGAAAAAGACUCCCAUAAGGACAAUAUCUGCAACUUGCAAUCAAGCAGACAAGACUAACUACAUUAGACGCGAGCAUCCUCAGACUCGGGCCUGUCAGAGCCAGAGAGAACUUUAUCGCCACAUAAUUUCAGAGCCCAGUGCAAAACAUCAUAGGAGACGUUUCAGACAACAUGCCAUGCCCCAGGUAACUUGCUAGCUAAGCAAUGUCCAUAGAAAGGUUCACCCUCUUGGGUAUAGGCUAAAUCAAAACUAAAUAAUUACCUAACACUCGAUUUACCUCAAGUUGAAAUUAUAAAUUGAAAGUUUCAUACAAACGUUUAAGUAGCUAUAGCUAACUACUUAGCCAACAUGAGCUUCCUGCAUUCUCCACAAUUAGCCUACUUCGCUAGCAAGCUGUUAACGUUAGCUAGCCACAUCGAGGGAAUUCGUUUACUGUCUAACUAAAUAAAACAUGACUGCUGAGGAAAUGAACGAUCUAGCUAUAUCGUUUAAUUCAAAUAAGACGAAAAUGUCCAGCUUCACAAUCACCAGGCCACGUUCUGACCCUCCAGUCUAUGUGAGGAAAAGGCUGACUCACCAAAAUGGCCGGUUUUAUAUGUCAUUUUCGGGAAAAGCAUAGGACCCCAUUUUUUUUUUGCUGCCUAUCGUAGGCGCCGUAAGUAAAAACAAUCACCUUGUUUAGAAUUAACAACUUGAAGUCGAACUAUGAAAUAAAAUGUAUUUAAAGUGUAUUAUAUGCAUAUUUAAUUUGUUAACUACUUGCAAUAUUUUGUCUUGGAUAAGAUAACCAUUGGAGAGGCCAUACAUGCCAAAGCAUACAUGAUUAAUUGGUAAAAAGAACAUGUGAUCAGGAUACUUUAUUGCCAGAGUUACCAUUAUACACUUCAGUAUAAUACACAGUAUAAUACACUUCAGUAUAAUACACAGUAUAAUACACUUCAGUAUAAUGGUAACUGUGUGUGAGUGGUUCUACUUUUGGAACCAUAAUGUGUGGAUUGAUAAUACUGUAUUUCCCCUCAAUGACAGCCCAAUGUUUGACAAUAGCAUGAGCUUGAAUGCCACGCCUUGCAGAGUCACUGUGUCAGCAGCUCAACUGUCUAAUUUUUUAAACGACAAGUCCUGGCAAGGCAGAACAGAGAAGUGUAGCAUAGCAUUAGGCAUGAGAUCAUACGGUAUGUGAGUGACUGCUGUUGGUAAUAUGGCCGCCUAUUCAUCUCCAGAGAUCCCCAGCUUUAAAGUGAAACACACAUUCUCUCUCUCUCUUUCUCUCUCUCU
rnacentral:lncRNA from 13 species